UAAGGAAUAUUGGACAAUGGACGCAAGUCUGAUCCAGCCAUCCCGCGUGUAGGAUGACUGCCCUACGGGUUGUAAACUACUUUUAUUUGGGAAGAAACCUGGUCAUUUAUGACCAGUUGACGGUACCUUAUGAAUAAGCACCGGCUAACUCCGUGCCAGCAGCCGCGGUAAUACGGAGGGUGCAAGCGUUAUCCGGAAUCACUGGGUUUAAAGGGAGCGUAGGCGGCAUAAUAAGUCAGAGGUGAAAGGCUGUAGCUUAACUAUGGAAUUGCCUUUGAUACUGUUGUGCUUGAAUCAAGUUGAGGUCGGCAGAAUGUGACAUGUAGCGGUGAAAUGCAUAGAUAUGUCAUAGAAUACCAAUUGCGAAGGCAGCUGGCUGGACUUGUAUUGACGCUGAGGCUCGAAAGCGUGGGGAGCAAACA
rnacentral:rRNA from 1 species